UACGUAGGGGGCUAGCGUUGUCCGGAUUUAUUGGGCGUAAAGAGCGUGUAGGCGGCCCGGUAAGUCCGCUGUGAAAGUCGGGGGCUCAACCCUCGAAUGCCGGUGGAUACUGUCGGGCUAGAGUGCGGAAGAGGCGAGUGGAAUUCCUGGUGUAGCGGUGAAAUGCGCAGAUAUCAGGAGGAACACCGAUUGCGAAGGCAGCUCGCUGGAACGUAACUGACGCUGAGACGCGAAAGCGUGGGGAGCAAACAGG
rnacentral:rRNA from 1 species